AUCUAUGACCCUACUACCCUGAACGUGCCCAACUCAUCUGAUCUCAGAAGCUAAGCAGGGUCGGGCCUGGUUAGUACUUGGAUGGGAGAAAGGAUAACUCUCUAUAUUUUCCAUCCAGUACCUGGCAGUAAUUGGCA
rnacentral:rRNA from 1 species